rnacentral:rRNA from 1 species
GACGAACGCUGGCGGCGUGCUUAACACAUGCAAGUCGAGCGGAGCGGCGAACGGGUGAGUAACGCGUGAGUAACUGCCCCCCUCCCUGGGAUAACAGUUGGAAACGGCUGCUAAUACCGGAUAGUGGGGGAUGACUCGCCCCCUAUCAGCUUGUUGGUUGGGUAGUGGCCUACCAAGGCUACGACGGGUAGCCGGCCUGAGGUGGCGACCGGCCACAUUGGGCUGAGAUACGGCCCAACCUCGUACGGGAGGCAGCAGUGGGGAAUAGUGCAGAAUGGGGGAAACCCUGAGGAAGCAACGCCGCGUGCGUGAUGACGGCCGUCGGGUUGUAAACCGCUUUCGGCCAUGACGCGGUAGUGGCAGAAGAAGCACCGGCUAACUACGUGCCAGCAGCCGCGGUAAUAC